AGUAAUGUCUGGGAAACUGCCUGAUGGAGGGGGAUAACUACUGGAAACGGUAGCUAAUACCGCAUAAUGUCGCAAGACCAAAGUGGGGGACCUUCGGGCCUCUUGCCAUCAGAUGUGCCCAGAUGGGAUUAGCUAGUAGGUGGGGUAACGGCUCACCUAGGCGACGAUCCCUAGCUGGUCUGAGAGGAUGACCAGCCACACUGGAACUGAGCCACGGUCCAG
rnacentral:rRNA from 1 species